rnacentral:rRNA from 1 species
CGCCUGAAGAAAAUUUAUUUCAGGUCCGACCUGCCCAGUGAAUAACUUAAACGGCCGCGGUAACCUGACCGUGCUAAGGUAGCGCAAUCACUUGCCUUUUAAUUGAUGGCUAGUAUGAAUGGUCAGACGAGCGCAUAAUUGUCUCUUUUAACGCUAUAAAAAUUAAUAUUUACAUGAAAAAGUGUAAAUGUUCAAAUAAGACAAAAAGACCCUACUAAGCUUUAUAUUCAUCGUAGUUUACUAAACUACAAAAUUAUUUUGUUGGGGCAACAAAGGAACAAAAUUAUUCUCCUUUUUAUAUAACAGCAAUCACGCAUCUAACCAAUUUAUAUUUAUAAAGACCAAAGCUACUAUAGGGAUAACAGACUAAUUUCUUCCGAGAGCUCACAUUGACGAAGAAGCUUAGUACCUCGAUGUUGGCUUAAGAUAACAUUAAGAGGCAGCACUCUUAAUAUGUAGGGUUGGUCCACCUUUAAUAUCUUA